GCCGGAGUAGCUCAGUUGGUAGAGCAGCGCAUUCGUAAUGCGAAGGUCGGAGGUUCGACUCCUCUCUCCGGCACCA
rnacentral:tRNA from 2 species